AAUAGAUACCCGGGUAGUCCACGCCGUAAACUAUGGAUGCUAGCUGUUAUGAGUAUCGACCCUCGUAGUAGCGAAGCUAACGCGUUAAGCAUCCCGCCUGUGGAGUACGAGCGCAAGCUUAAAACAUAAAGGAAUUGACGGGGACCCGCACAAGCGGUGGAGCGUGUUGUUUAAUUCGAUGAUAAGCGUAGAACCUUACCAAGGCUUGACAUCCCUGGAAGGUCUCCGAAAGGAGACUGUGCCUUCGGGAAUCAGGUGACAGGUGCUGCAUGGCCGUCGUCAGCUCGUGUCGUGAGAUGUUUGGUUAAGUCCAUCAACGAGCGCAACCCUUAUAAAUAGUUGAAUUUUUUCUAUUUAGACCGCCUCGGUAACGGGGAGGAAGGAGGGGAUGACGGUCAGGUCAGUAUUGCCCUUAUGCCUUGGGCUACAAACACGCUACAACUGGCCGGUACAAAGGGCUGCCAACCCGCGAGGGGGAGCAAAUCCCAUCAAAACCGGUCCCAGUUCGGAUAGCAGGCUGAAACUCGCCUGCUUGAAGUCGGAAUCGCUAGGUAAC
rnacentral:rRNA from 1 species